rnacentral:misc_RNA from 1 species
CUUGUAGUGGUAUCGCUCGCCGUAAACACCCUGUGGAUCUCACGCUUGAUAAAUUAAUAAUACAUUUAAUAGAGCAUGAGCGCUACUGUUUAAGUUUUACACAUAAUUGAAAAGUUUUAUUUGAAAUUUCGUGGCUUAAAGUAAAACAUGUGAUAGCUUUUUGAAAUGCAGUAGCCAAAACCUGCUCGGUUGGAACAUUUAGCUUAUUGACUUAAACAUACCCAUAUGCACAUACAUAUGUAUUAAACAGUAGGCACAUAUAUUCGUGUGGUGCUGAUAGUGUAAAUGUGUAAAAUGUCUGUGGAAUUGUAAAUAUGUUUUUGUUUAUACAAAUAUGUACAUAAAUGCACAAAAAUCGGUGCAUAUAUGUGCACAUGCCCAUCAUCAUCCAUAUCUGCAUAUUUCUGUACAUGCAUAUGUGCUCUAACUACAAUACAUACCACCAUUCGCAAACAGUUUGUCAAAAAAGUGUGUCUACUCGGCGAGAUAAAACAAAAAACAGUUGCCAAAUCAGUCGCUAUGUUAAGUAAUUCGAAAUUACUGUUCGGUGUUUCUAAAACGGAUUUUGAUUUUGGUUUUCACCCAUCGAAAAUCGCCAGUUCAGCCAGCGGGCCCAUUUAAUUGCUCGGAUACGAAUUAAAAUCGCCGUACGUUGGCUUCAGUAAGAAAACUCUAUCGACCAGUUUGUUAAACACAACCAGGACCAUUCGACAACCAAUCUGAAUGUAUUAUGCCAAGCGGAAGAUUGUUAUAUUGUUUAUCUCUGAUAGUAAUAGCCGAUACAUAACGUACACUUUGAAAUGGAGUAAAUAGAAGACAAGCACUGGUUCCCCAAGAGAUUUGAAUGGAUGCAGCUAAAAUAAUUUAAAAAGACAAGUCUUUAACCUUAAAAAUAUGGCCAACACUAUUUCGUUAAUGUCCAACGUGAUACGCAAUGUAGUGAGUAAAAAACGUAUACGAUACAAAGAAAAAGGAUACAAUUUGGAUUUAACAUACAUUUAUGAUAAUAUAAUUGCCAUGGGGUAUCCAGCAACGGAUAAGCUAGAGGGCCUAUACAGAAACCGUCUGGAAGAUGUCUUCAAGUUUUUGGAAGAGAAUCAUGCCCAGCAUUACAAAAUAUAUAACCUAUGCUCAGAGCGUAGCUACGACGUUGCUAAAUUUCACGGGAGAGUAGCUGUUCUGCCGUUCGAAGACCAUAACCCUCCAACGAUUGAGUUAAUACAACGAUUUUGCAUGGAUGUGGAUUUAUGGCUCAAGGAAGAUUCGUCCAAUGUUGUAGCCGUGCACUGUAAAGCUGGAAAAGGCAGAACCGGUACCAUGAUCUGUGCAUAUUUAGUGUUCAGUGGACUUCAAAAAUCCGCUGACGAUGCAUUAGCGUGGUAUGAUGAGAAGCGUACAAAGGACCGAAAAGGUGUGACAAUCCCAUCUCAGCGUCGAUAUGUUCAGUAUUUUUCCAAACUAGUUUGUUCAAGUGUUCCAUAUUCGAAAAUAAGCCUUAACGUAUGUGAAAUACGGUUCUCGGAGUCCAGUUGCUUGCAAAACUUAGGCACGGUACAAUGUUCAGUAUCUGUACUACACGACUCAACCACAGAAAAUGCAGAGCCUGAUAAUCUGAAAACCUGGACGAUUGAUUUCAAAAAAUCAUUUGUUUUGACUAUUAAACCAUAUUUACCAGUUUGCGGUGAUGUAAAAUUCGAACUUACACAAAAAUCUUCAGAUAAAAUCAUUUGUCACUUUUGGCUAAAUACAUUUUUUGUGCGAAAUUAUUCACCUUGCGAGUCCGAUGGAACAGUUAACAAAUAUAUACACACUUUAAGCAAAUCAGAAAUCGAUGAUGUGCAUAAAGACAGAGAACAUAAAACGUUUUCAGAGGAAUUCAAGAUUUCAAUUGUAUUUGAGGCAGAUAAUUUUAGCAAUGAUGUUCAAGUUGAACCGUCUGAAAAAGAGAGAAAUGAAAAUGUGUUAAACUUUGAAAGAUCCGACUAUGACAGUUUAUCUCCAAAAAACUGCUUUCCCGAAAAAACAGUCUUAACUGCGAUCGUCAAUGAUAAUACAGCGAAAAGUCAAACAAUAGAACCGUUGGAUCAUAAGGAUAUAGUUACUAAAAUCCAAUACGACACAUCAACCAAUUCAAAAAAUACUUCGACUGCGUGUAAACGCAAACAGCCUAAUAGCAAACCUCUUUUACCAAACUUGAAUGAUUCCACAAAAGAGGAACUAAAAAAAAAUCAUAUAUUUAAUCAACCGUCCAUUAAAAAAACUGAUUUAAUCAAAUGGCAGAAUAGUGAAGUUCAUAUCACCUCUGACACUCGAAGUAUAAACGAAAAUAAGAACAUCAAUUACAAUUCAUACAUCACAUGUAAACAAUCCUCUCCAAAAUUCAACUGUGGUACCGAAGAAGGCGAGGAAGAUUGGGAAUCCGAAUAAUCACCCGAGACGAUUUAAAAGACUUCUGGCUGAACGAUCUCUUAAUUUUGAUGUAUAAUACGAAGCCACCAGAACUGGAUUUAUAUGUCCCCAAGACUUUUACGAGUAUACUAGCAGACAGGCUUACACAGAUCCACUUCCUUUCACGGGGAACCGAUCGGUGGUUAUAGCUGGGCUCUGCACAUCUGUUUAGAAUUUAAUGUACAUAGGUGAAUCAACAUACCUGUAAUCAAUGCUUAUUACGGACUUAUAAUUCUUGGUGAUUUAGCAAAGUAAUUAAAAUUGCUAAGUAAUUGGCUAAUCUAUUCGAAUUUGUAAAUAUACUGUAUGAUAUUUAUUUAAGUAGUUUUAACAAUUAUUUUAAAUAAACUCAUGUACAUUUUGUAUUGUAGAUUUCAUUCGAA